AUUACCGAGUUUACAACUCCCAAACCCAAUGUGAACGUUACCAAACUGUUGCCUCGGCGGGAUCUCUGCCCCGGGUGCGUCGCAGCCCCGGACCAAGGCGCCCGCCGGAGGACCAACCAAAAACUCUUUUGUAUACCCCCUCGCGGGUUUUUUAUAUCUGAGCCAUCUCGGCGCCUCUCGUAGGCGUUUCGAAAAUGAAUCAAAACUUUCAACAACGGAUCUCUUGGUUCUGGCAUCGAUGAAGAACGCAGCGAAAUGCGAUAAGUAAUGUGAAUUGCAGAAUUCAGUGAAUCAUCGAAUCUUUGAACGCACAUUGCGCCCGCCAGUAUUCUGGCGGGCAUGCCUGUCCGAGCGUCAUUUCAACCCUCGAACCCCUCCGGGGGGUCGGCGUUGGGGAUCGGCCCUUUACGGGGCCGGCCCCGAAAUACAGUGGCGGUCUCGCCGCAGCCUCUCCUGCGCAGUAGUUUGCACACUCGCAUCGGGAGCGCGGCGCGUCCAUUGCCGUAAAACACCCAACUUUCUGAAAUGUUGACCUCGGAUCAGGUAGGAAUACCCGCUGAACUUAAGCAU
rnacentral:rRNA from 1 species